AGUUGACAACAUGUGGUGGAGGAGAGAAGCCUGCGUGCCUAUGCAUGUGAAAUGACGUUAGAAGGCUUCCAAAAGGGCGGGUGCAAAAUAAUAUUGCACAGUGCAAUUGAUCCUUAGUGGGAGCUCAGGAGCUGUUGGUUGAUGAGUGAGUUGAUAAGCUACAAGUGCCCACAGGGAGAAGGGAAACAUCAAGCAGGAUGACCAGGGGGUGCUGCAGAGAGGAAGCAGUGAACUGCCCGCAGCUGGCUGAGCCUGAGCCUGUGAUGGGGCCAAGGGUGUGCUGGCACCGUAUGGGCGGAAGGACCCGGGCUACCUCUAAGUCUACUGAGGCGUUAUUUACCAAGGUGAGGGUUGAGCUGGAUUCCGAAAAGGAAAUCUGGUAAGGAGAAAGAGGCGAGCCCAGCGUGAAGGAAGGAGGUGUAGGGAGAGUGGGCAGACGAGACGGCCUGGGGCAGAGGGAGAUGGAAGAAAAGAAACAAAGAAUGUCUGCCCAGCAUCCUCAUUUUUUUGGUUUUCCGGGAAAAUGGUGAAACUCUUGCAAGUGGCGAUUACAGAGGGCGGGAGUAGGAGAGAAACCACAGUGAUUUUUUUUUUCAGGACCGAAAAAAUGUUUUCCCCAAACUAAACAAAGUCAGAUUGAGAAAUGCAACGUAGUACCUUAGGGACCUGGUGGCUCAUUGCUACGUCUUGCCACAGGCGCCGGCCUCAGAUGCUCAUGGCCGCCUGGGGAGGGGAGGAGGACCCUUAAACUUUUCAAGAUCCAAACAGUCAUGGUUCUCUUUUUGCAAAAUAGUUUUUGUCAGCCUCUUGUAGAUAGUGGUGGUCGCACCUUUUGUGAACCACAGCACGACAUGUGCCUGGAUGCCUCUUCCCCACCUGUUACCUGCCCAGGGAGCCUCACCUGCCUCUUAUAGGACAGCUUCAUAGCCUGUGACUUCAGUGUGGUCCUCUUACACGGAAAGCCCCCAGUGAUGGCUGGUGUUGUUACCUAAAAGGUCAUUUCCCUCAGAUGACACCAGUGCUUUAGGAUCAUCAAAGAAACAAAGGAAUCUUAUACUUACAAGAUGAAACUCUGCCUUCAAAAAGGGAGAUGCGGCCAAAUUCUUCAGGAAAAACCGGAGCUGGGGCCUGGGUGGUCUUGCUGGUAUUCCUUCUUUUGUGAUUAAAUGAAGCCAUUCAUUUCAGAGCUGCCUUAAAAAAUGUAGGAGUCAUUCAACCUUCUUCAGCAAAUUAUACUGAUUUUAAAUGAACAAAAAAGUCAGCGGCCCUAUUCACACACCCCCACCCCUCCCCCAUCAGAAAUAAUGUAUCUGAUGAUGAAAAUUACCAACAGCCUGAAAAGAAAAAAUCAUGGCAACUUCUCAGUUGCACAUCGUACUUUCACAUUUCUAUUUAUGUGAAAUUCUUAUUCUCAACCAUCUGAUUUUUGUUAACGUUAGGGAUCUAGAUCUAGUCAGGUCUUGUGCCUGCACACCCCUUUAAUUAGCGUGAUAACUCAAAUUGCUUUCUAAUUGAGAUGGCUGUGCUUCUGAUUCUUAUCUGUGGAGCUGGAGGCCUUGGGGCCACCUGCACAGCCCCAUUGGCUGAGAUUUUAUCUGCUAGCACUGCCCUCUCUCCCAGGACUCUGCUGGUCAGGGGCUGAACUCUGAAGCUUCUCCAACCUCAGGUGGAAAUCUGAGUUCUUGCCCAGCCCAGAAUGCUGGGGGAUCUCAGCAGCCUGCCUGGGCACACAAGAGGAGUGGGUGCUGAGCUGGCACAACAAUUCUAUCCUCCUGUCCUCACCCUGGGAUUUCCGAUUUGCUGCAGGGUGUGGGAGAACCCAGCUCCCACCUCUGCUAGCUGUGCAUAAUUACUGAGUGGGGAGGGCAUCACUGUCUCAGACAAGAAUGAGGGGCUGGCCCACAGUCUCUGCACUUCUCAAGUGGUCUCCGGAGGCACCCGAGGUGGCUGGCUACGAUCCUGGGACCUAUGUAGUCACUGGUGCCAGUGUCCAUGCUGAUGACUCUAGCGGCCACCUCUGUCCAGGCAAGGGCUGAAUCCCGGCACCAAUGUAACUUUUUCCAAGCAGCCUAGAUUAGGCAAUUGAAAAAAACAAAAACAAAUUUUAUACUGAGGUAAAGGGACCUUCAGUAUAAUCCUAGCUUUUAUCACAUAAAUAGAGGUAGGGGGUACCCACCCCACCAAACCAAAAGGAUUCAUGACACAGUGCAAAGUGCCAUGUGCCUUCACAAAGAGAAGGGUCACGUCAAUAUCAACUCCUACAGCGAUUCAACUCUACAGAGACAAAUGGUGUUUUAAAAAUUCCAUUUUAUUCAUUGGUAGUUUUUCCCUUUUUAACAAAAUUGUCUAUAUUUAAGGCAUA
rnacentral:lncRNA from 1 species